AAUAUUGCACAAUGGGGGAAACCCUGCUGCAGCAACGCCGCGUGAGCGAUGAAGGCUUUCGGGUCGUAAAGCUCUGUCCUAAGGGAAGAUAAUGACGGUACCUUAGGAGGAAGCCCCGGCUACCUACGUGCCAGCAGCCGCGGUAAUACGUAGGGGGCAAGCGUUAUCCGGAAUCAUUGGGCGUAAAGGGUGCGUAGGCGGCCCUCUGGGUCAGAGGUUAAAGGCUACGGCUCAACCGUAGUAAUCCUUUGAAACUGUAGGGCUUGAGUGCAGGAGAGGAGAGUGGAAUUCCUAGUGUAGCGGUGAAAUGCGUAGAUAUUAGGAGGAACACCAGUGGCGAAGGCGACUCUCUGGACUGCAACUGACGCUGAGGCACGAAAGCGUGGGUAGCAAAUA
rnacentral:rRNA from 1 species